UCGUUAGCGUUAUUUAUUAAACACUCGCAUGUUGUUUAUUUCAGUUUCCUCUGGUCUGAAUUCAGAAUAUUAUUUAAAAUUAUUAUUAAAACAUAGCUAACGUUGUUUUAUGAAAUGGAAAUAGUGUUUUCCUUCAAUCAUCGAAAGUAUUUUCAAAGAAUUCUGACGAGUAAAUGUUGAAUGCAUUUGCUGCAUCCCAUUAACAGUGCGUAUACGAUUAUGGAUUAAAAAUAGUUAUAAGUUUUGAAACCAUACGGCUUUGAAAAUUCAGUUUGGAGGUGUUAAUGGAAAACUUCUCUCUGAACAUUUUUCUAUGCAAGAUAGCAAUCUAAUAAAAUUUUAAAAGUAAUCAAGUUCAAAUUAGCAAGACUGCAUAGGCUGCAAAAAGACUUUCUUCUGCAAAUUUUCUAAGCUCUUCCAGACAUGUCAUAGAACUUAUGUCGAAAAAAUUCCUGAAAACUACUUUUAAGGGAGUUCAAGCAGCAUUUUUCUAAGAAGUGUUUCCAGCAGCUACCUGGGGUUAGAAGAUAUCGGAUUCUGUUGAACUUAAGAACAACAAACUUCACAUUAACAUACAAGACAAUGAACUUCACAUGAACAUACAUUGGCAUGCGAAUGUUCGGGAAGCAUAUUUCAUUACAAAAAUAAAGAUUUGAAUGCUCUUUCAAAUUUUAAAAUUGAACUACAUUCAUGCCUAUUCCGGUACUGAAAAGGAACUCCUAAGAACUGAAAAGGAAAAUACAGUGGAUACAUGGAAAGUGCCAAUAAGGUGAUCUAAGAAAACUAGUUCCAUAAAAUUUGUCAAAAAAGCCUGCUGUGCUGUGUUUUUCUCAAUUGUAAAAUUAACCAAGCUGGUUAAUUAAAAAUUAACCAACGAUUAAAUGACAUUUUCUACUCUGAAAGUUAUUUUCUUCAAUUUUGCAAAAUACUUUAGAGAAUUAGUUUUCAUUUGCUGACGGAAAAAGGUUUUCUUCACAAAUUGAAGCUGAGAAGACGUUUAAAAUUCAUUCUCCUCGGCAAUCUUCUAAUCUCCUGAAUUAUGUACAAAAGUAUUUUUCUUUGUUUCUGCGUAGGCAGGGCAUUUGAGGCAUUUUAGAGGCAAGAAACAUUUCUAAUGAAUUUGGUUAUAAGGAUGUUUUUCUUCAAACGUCAAACAUAACACCCAAAUGCUCAGUCAAAAUAUGAUGAUUAAGAUUGUCCAAAAGCAGGAUUCUUUUUUAUUAUUUUUCCGAGAUUGAAGUCUGACAAGGCAAAGCAAUUUUCUUGGCAUAUUUGCUUUCAAAACAUUAUUGUAUGUUUUACAAUUGCCAAAGAAUCAUAUUUCUGUGAAAUUUUUUCUGAGUAGUUUUGACAUGCACCAGCCAUAAAGAACGCUUGAUAUCUGACGAAAAACAGUUGCUCUGAAGUACCUGUUCUAGGGAAAAUUUUCGAGUUGUGCAUCUUAAGGAAAACUUGAUCCUUCAUACUAACAAAAUAUCAUAUGCUUACGGUUAAGAUUGUUUACUGCAGCAAGACUGAAAAAUUCCUUCAGAGUCCCUUCUGGUGUAAAAACACCUUCCUGUAAAGUUUUCUUUGAGGACGUUGUUCAAUCAGGAACUCAGACUGAAAAUCCGUUUUGGAGCUGAAUUGUAUUCCAUUGAAAUAUAUUCUUAAGAAAUUUUCUGCUUAGCAGUCUUAGUUUGGGCCUGUGUUUGGGAUUCGGUACGUGCAAAUAACCAUAUUAUUGUGCAGUGUGUUCUAAAAUAUAUUCUUAUCUAGGACAUCGUAAAGAACAUUUGAAAAACCUUGCUGGGAAGAAGCAACAUUCCUGGUAGAUCUGUUCUAAGAAAUUUUCUCUACUGAA